GAUGAACGCUGGCGGCGUGCUUAACACAUGCAAGUCGAACGGUGAAAGAGAGCUUGCUCUCUGGAUCAGUGGCGAACGGGCGAGUAACACGUGAGCAAUCUGCCCCUGACUCUGGGAUAAGCGCUGGAAACGGCGUCUAAUACCGGAUACGAGGCGUGGGGGGACCCCCAACGCCUGGAAAGAACUUAGGUCCAGGAUGAGCGCGCGGCCUAUCAGCUAGUUGGUGAGGUAACGGCUCACCAAGGCGACGACGGGUAGCCGGCCUGAGAGGGUGACCGGCCACACUGGGACUGAGACACGGCCCAGACUCCUACGGGAGGCAGCAGUGGGGAAUAUUGCACAAUGGGCGCAAGCCUGAUGCAGCAACGCCGCGUGAGGGACGACGGCCUUCGGGUUGUAAACCUCUUUUAGCAGGGAAGAAGCGAAAGUGACGGUACCUGCAGAAAAAGCACCGGCUAACUACGUGCCAGCAGCCGCGGUAACAC
rnacentral:rRNA from 1 species